rnacentral:rRNA from 1 species
UACGUAGGGUGCAAGCGUUAAUCGGAAUUACUGGGCGUAAAGCGUGCGCAGGCGGUGAUGUAAGACAGAUGUGAAAUCCCCGGGCUUAACCUGGGAACUGCAUUUGUGACUGCACGGCUGGAGUGCGGCAGAGGGGGAUGGAAUUCCGCGUGUAGCAGUGAAAUGCGUAGAUAUGCGGAGGAACACCGAUGGCGAAGGCAAUCCCCUGGGCCUGCACUGACGCUCAUGCACGAAAGCGUGGGGAGCAAACGGG